UUUAACGAGAGUUUGAUCCUGGCUCAGGAUGAACGCUGGCGGCGUGCUUAACACAUGCAAGUCGAGCGAAGCACUUUGGAAAGAUUCUUCGGAUGAUUUCCUUUGUGACUGAGCGGCGGACGGGUGAGUAACGCGUGGGUAACCUGCCUCAUACAGGGGGAUAACAGUUAGAAAUGACUGCUAAUACCGCAUAAGACCACGGUACCGCAUGGUACAGUGGUAAAAACUCCGGUGGUAUGAGAUGGACCCGCGUCUGAUUAGGUAGUUGGUGGGGUAACGGCCUACCAAGCCGACGAUCAGUAGCCGACCUGAGAGGGUGACCGGCCACAUUGGGACUGAGACACGGCCCAGACUCCUACGGGAGGCAGCAGUGGGGAAUAUUGCACAAUGGAGGAAA
rnacentral:rRNA from 1 species